rnacentral:rRNA from 1 species
AUGUUCGCUCGCUCCUUUUCUUCCUCUCGGUACAAGGCCGCCGCCGCAACCUCCCAAUCCAGAUAUAGCGCGAUGAAGAGGAGUGAGACGAGGCCGGCCAGACAGACGGAGUUGUGGGGUCCGGUGACGAAGAAGAGCAGGCCCGACGAGGAGGAGGAGGUGGUAGAGGAUGCUAGAUCCAAGGAGGAGCUGCGGACGAGGAAGAAGAAGAGUUGUCCAAUUUGUUACCGCUCGCUCAGGCUAUUGAGAGUCGAAAAUAGGAUUCGUCGCUUGUUUCUCUCAUGCAAGCCCAACUGGAGGAAGGCGAUGGGGGCGGCCGCCGCGUCCAGGAUGCUGAUGAAGAAGAAGGCGAUGUGGGUGGCCGUCGUGCCGAAGAUGGUGACGAGGAAGAAGGAGACAAGCUCCAAACUCAGCGAGGCGAAGUCGACAAGCCCCAAACCUAGCGAGGUUAGCGAGGCGAAGCCGGCGAGCCCCAAGCCUGGUGAGGCGAAGGAGGUGUUGGCGGACGCCGAAUCGAUUGAGAAGGGCAGCAAGAACAUGGCGUGGGGCGGAGAGAGAAUGAGGAAGAUUGUGGCGGACGCCGAAUGGAAAAAGGAGGGCAGCAAUUACUUUACGUGGGGCGAAGAGACGACGAGGAAGUGGAGCGGAGAGAGGGUGGCGAGGACGGAGACGUGGAGGUUUAGCGCGAAUUACCUGGUGUUCAUGAGGAACACUCUCCCUCCCCUGCCCGUUGAAGACUUCUCCACUAGCAAUCCCUUCCUCCGCAUGAAUCAAGAAAUAGCAGCCGCCCAAUACAAGGCUAGGCAUGAAUUCUGCGACUACGUCUUCAGCCAGCACGAUGUCAGAAAAGGGUACUCGGAGUUCCAGGUAGAGGUCACGGACGACGGGGAAGUAAUGGUCCCGGCCAAGUCCCGUGACAACAACAAAGACAACGUUGCCUAG